UUACUUGGAUAACUGUGGUAAUUCUAGAGCUAAUACAUGCAAACAGAGUUCCGACCGGAGACGGAAGGAACGCUUUUAUUAGAUCAAAACCGAUCGGUGGCGGACUCGUUCCGUCAUCGUACCCAUUCAUGGUGAAUCUGAAUAACUUUAAGCUGAUCGCACGGUCUCGUACCGGCGACGCAUCUUUCAAAUGUCUGCCUUAUCAACUGUCGAUGGUAGGUUCUGCGCCUACCAUGGUCGUAACGGGUAACGGGGAAUCAGGGUUCGAUUCCGGAGAGGGAGCCUGAGAAACGGCUACCACAUCCAAGGAAGGCAGCAGGCGCGCAAAUUACCCACUCCCGGCACGGGGAGGUAGUGACGAAAAAUAACGAUACGGGACUCAUCCGAGGCCCCGUAAUCGGAAUGAGUACACUCUAAACCCUUUAACGAGGAUCAAUUGGAGGGCAAGUCUGGUGCCAGCAGCCGCGGUAAUUCCAGUUCCAAUAGCGUAUAUUAAAGUUGUUGCGGUUAAAAAGCUCGUAGUCGAAUUUGUGUCUCGCACCGCCGGUUCAUCGUUCGCGGUGUCAACUGGCGUGCCGCGGGACGUCCUGUCGGUGGGUUUAGCUCCUUCGUCCUACGGGGCGUUAGGGGCGGCCCAAACAAAAUCCUGCCGCGGUGCUCUUCAUUGAGUGUCGAGGUGGGCCGACACGUUUACUUUGAACAAAUUAGAGUGCUUAAAGCAGGCUAAAAUUUCGCCUGAAUACUGUGUGCAUGGAAUAAUGGAAUAGGACCUCGGUUCUAUUUUGUUGGUUUUCGGAACCCCGAGGUAAUGAUUAAUAGG
rnacentral:rRNA from 1 species